rnacentral:rRNA from 1 species
AGAGUUUGAUCCUGGCCCAGGAUGAACGCUGGCGGCGUGCUUAACACAUGCAAGUCGAACGAAGCACCUUAUUCUGAUUUCUUCGGAAUGAAAAAUUUGGUGACUGAGUGGCGGACGGGUGAGUAACGCGUGGGUAACCUGCCUCAUACAGGGGGAUAACAGUUAGAAAUGACCGCUAAUACCGCAUAAGACCACAGCACCGCAUGGUGCAGGGGUAAAAACUCCGGUGGUAUGAGAUGGACCCGCGUCUGAUUAGGUAGUUGGUGGGGUAACGGCCUACCAAGCCGACGAUCAGUAGCCGACCUGAGAGGGUGACCGGCCACAUUGGGACUGAGACACGGCCCAAACUCCUACGGGAGGCAGCAGUGGGGAAUAUCGCACAAUGGGGGAAACCCUGAUGCAGCGACGCCGUGUGAGCGAUGAAGUAUUUCGGUAUGUAAAGCUCUAUCAGCAGGGAAGAAAAUGACGGUACCUGACUAAGAAGCACCGGCUAAAUACGUGCCAGCAGCCGCGGUAAUACGUAUGGUACAAGCGUUAUCCGGAUUUACUGGGUUUAAAGGGAGCGUAGGCCGGAGAUUAAGCGUGUUGUGAAAUGUAGACGCUCAACGUCUGCACUGCAGCGCGAACUGGUUUCCUUGAGUACGCACAAAGUGGGCGGAAUUCGUGGUGUAGCGGUGAAAUGCUUAGAUAUCACGAAGAACUCCGAUUGCGAAGGCAGCUCACUGGAGCGCAACUGACGCUGAAGCUCGAAAGUGCGGGUAUCGAACAGGAUUAGAUACCCUGGUAGUCCGCACGGUAAACGAUGGAUGCCCGCUGUUGGUCUGAACAGGUCAGCGGCCAAGCGAAAGCAUUAAGCAUCCCACCUGGGGAGUACGCCGGCAACGGUGAAACUCAAAGGAGUUGACGGGGGCCCGCACAAGCGGAGGAACAUGUGGUUUAAUUCGAUGAUACGCGAGGAACCUUACCCGGGCUUGAAUUGCAGAGGAAGGAUUUGGAGACAAUGACGCCCUUCGGGGUCUCUGUGAAGGUGCUGCAUGGUUGUCGUCAGCUCGUGCCGUGAGGUGUCGGCUUAAGUGCCAUAACGAGCGCAACCCCUCUCCUUAGUUGCCAUCAGGUUAAGCUGGGCACUCUGGGGACACUGCCACCGUAAGGUGUGAGGAAGGUGGGGAUGACGUCAAAUCAGCACGGCCCUUACGUCCGGGGCUACACACGUGUUACAAUGGCAGGUACAGAGAGACGGUUGUACGUAAGUACGAUCAAAUCCUUAAAGCCUGUCUCAGUUCGGACUGGGGUCUGCAACCCGACCCCACGAAGCUGGAUUCGCUAGUAAUCGCGCAUCAGCCAUGGCGCGGUGAAUACGUUCCCGGGCCUUGUACACACCGCCCGUCAAGCCAUGAAAGCCGGGGGCGCCUAAAGUCCGUGACCGUAAGGAGCGGCCUAGGGCGAAACUGGUAAUUGGGGCUAAGUCGUAACAAGGUA